ACCGGCGCACGGAUGCGUAACGCGUGGGAAUAUACCCCUAGGUAAGGAAUAACGUAGAGAAAUUUGCGCUAAUACCUUAUAAUAACUUCGGUUCAAAGACUUAUCGCCAAGGGAUUAGCCCGCGUCAGAUUAGAUAGUUGGUGAGGUAACGGCUCACCAAGUCGACGAUCUGUAGGGGGUCUGAGAGGAUGAUCCCCCACACUGGUACUGAGACACGGACCAGACUCCUACGGGAGGCAGCAGUGAGGAAUAUUGGACAAUGGAGGAAACUCUGAUCCAGCCAUGCCGCGUGAGUGAAGAAGGCCUUAGGGUUGUAAAGCUCUUUCAAUUGCGAAGAUAAUGACGGUAACAAUAGAAGAAGCUCCGGCUAAAUUCGUGCCAGCAGCCGCGGUAAUACGAAUGGAGCAAGCGU
rnacentral:rRNA from 1 species